rnacentral:rRNA from 1 species
GAUGAACGCUGGCGGCGUGCCAAACACAUGCAAGUCGAGCGGAGCAAAUAGCAAUAUUUGCUUAGCGGCGGACGGGUGAGUAACGCGUGGGCAACCUGCCUUUCAGAGGGGGAUAACACAGGGAAACUUGUGCUAAUACCGCAUAACGUACCGAGAGGACAUCCUCAUGGUACCAAAGGAGUAAUCCGCUGAAAGAUGGGCCCGCGUCCGAUUAGCUAGUUGGUGGUGUAACGGACCACCAAGGCGACGAUCGGUAGCCGAACUGAGAGGUUGAGCGGCACAUUGGGACUGGGACCCGGCCAAGACUCCUACGGGAGGCAGCAGUGGGGAAUAUUGCGCAAUGGGGGAAACCCUGACGCAGCAACGCCGCGUGAAGGAUGAAGGCCUUCGGGUUGUAAACUUCUUUGAUUGGGGACGAAAAAAAUGACGGUACCCAAAAAACAAGCCAUGGCUAACUACGUGCCAGCCGCCGCGGUAA